AUGAUCAGAACUCAAACUAAACAGACUACCAGAACAAGGGAAUCAUGCCACAGAAUAAGAAGAAACGGUGCUCAAAUUUUCAAAACAUAUACCUGUAGCUCCUACUGCGGCUCCUGCUGUAGCUCCUAUCACGCACCCUUCCGCGGCGAGGAGAUGGAGAUCUGGAGUAACUCUUUCCACGCCUGUGUUCUUAGGGCUGUUCUGACAAUCCCUUUCUAUGUGGCCACUAUCUCCACAACGAUAGCACCUGUUUUUCCAGUCGCCAGCUUUGCAGUCCCGAGCCCAAUGCCCAUCAAUCCCACAGUUAAAGCAACGCCCAGAACCAGGAGGAGGUCCCCGACCCAUAUAUUCACGGUCACCACCACGGCCACCACGGUCACGGUCACCUCCUCCUCCUUGGCCACGCGGAACCUAUAA
rnacentral:rRNA from 1 species